AGAAUGACUCUCGGCAACGGAUAUCUAGGCUCUUGCAUCGAUGAAGAACGUAGCGAAAUGCGAUACUUGGUGUGAAUUGCAGAAUCCCGUGAACCAUCGAGUUUUUGAACGCAAGUUGCGCCCGAUGCCAUUAGGUUGAGGGCACGUCUGCCUGGGUGUCACAUA
rnacentral:rRNA from 1 species